ACUGAGCCACCCAGGUAUGGAAAGUUCAUUUUAGACUGGAAACAUGCUUGGUCGCCCUGCUGUUCUGACAGAGCGGGCUUAAGCAUCACCUGGACCCAUUAGUGGGUUUUUCUCCUGAUAAAAUCUGGUGAUCACCAUAGACUUGACUUCCUUGUGGUAUCACCUCAGUUAAAAAUGAUGUGGAACUUUUAAAUCUCAAGUCUUAAAGAUAAAAUCACAUUACUUUUCUUAUGCCUAAUUCAUUUCCAGAACUUUCUCCCAGAGCUAGUUAGAUACAAUAUCAAGGAAUAAUACCUAUCUGGCACAAACACUGAGUUCUCAAAUCUUAUUUACCAGUAUGAUAAAAUUUAGAACAUAUUAUAAAAUAUGGUUUAUAUUUGAAUGGACUUAGGUGACUUGCAAACAUGGCGUUGCACGUAGAGUGGAAGACCAACAUUGUAGUGGCUGGUUUAUCAAUCACAACACUUUUUUUGUCUUUUUAUCAUUUUUUUUUUUAAAUCACUGCUUUUAACAGAGUUUUCAAUUCUUGAAAGAACUCAGGGUUUGGUUGGAUUACAGUCCCUUAAACUUCGUUAUUACUUUCUUCCAUGUUGUUCAUGUUAUUUUCCAGAUGGACAGGAACAGUGUAAAUGACUGCUAUUGUUUCAAGGGCACAGAACAAGGUGGGGUGUGUGUGUGUGUACGUGUGAGUGUGCGAGUGUGCGAGUGUGUGUGUGUGUGUGUGUGUGUGUGUGUCGGCAGGCGUGGGGUAGGGCAUGGGAAGGACAGGGAGGGACGCGGUUUGGAGAGUGUGUUUAAGUUUGUGCUGGCUGGAAGUAGUGCAUUAGUGUGCUCCUGGGAGGCACUUAAACUUGGGAUUCUUCUAUGUCUUUGGGCGGAGGCUGGCUGGGGGUGGGAAGAAUGUGGGAGAAGCUGUUUGGAAAUGCAGUGACUUGGAGCUGCUCGUUGUCAUUCUCCCAAGCACAUACGUGUCUCAAGUCAUAUAUACGGCUCGUGUGUCACUCCAAAAGACAAUUUUUGGGUCCAUUGAUCUAAAUCAUUCCCAGGCCGUGUUCAGGUCCUUUCUCUUCCACAGACACCACUGACUUCUUGGCUCUUCUUGUUUCCUCUUUUCCUGAAUCAAAGAAGGCUCACAGGACCUGCGACCAUGUGCCUGCCUGUCACUGUGCUGAGGAAACCCUGGCAUCCACUCGAGUGAAGUGUACUGGACUCAGUGCAGUCCUGUGUGACACAGUUGAUUGUUUUGGUGGGACAACUACAGAGGUUAAAGCCCAGCGAAUAGAAGAGGAAGAGGAAAUGCGUAGAGGUCUUGUGCCGUAGAAAGUCCCUUUCCCCCUAAUACUUCUUUCUACUUUCCAAACUUGGUAUGAUUGGGGAGGAAAAGUGAGUUUUGUCCCUUAUCUAAACUUAAGAAUGAGGAAAUAAAGAUAGCAUGAUACUUGAGUUAUUUUUUU